AGUGAACGCUGGCGGUAGGCCUAACACAUGCAAGUCGAACGGCAGCACAGUAAGAGCUUGCUCUUACGGGUGGCGAGUGGCGGACGGGUGAGGAAUACAUCGGAAUCUACUUUUUCGUGGGGGAUAACGUAGGGAAACUUACGCUAAUACCGCAUACGACCUACGGGUGAAAGCAGGGGAUCUUCGGACCUUGCGCGAUUGAAUGAGCCGAUGUCGGAUUAGCUAGUUGGCGGGGUAAAGGCCCACCAAGGCGACGAUCCGUAGCUGGUCUGAGAGGAUGAUCAGCCACACUGGAACUGAGACACGGUCCAGACUCCUACGGGAGGCAGCAGUGGGGAAUAUUGGACAAUGGGCGCAAGCCUGAUCCAGCCAUACCGCGUGGGUGAAGAAGGCCUUCGGGUUGUAAAGCCCUUUUGUUGGGAAAGAAAUCCAGCCGGCUAAUACCUGGUUGGGAUGACGGUACCCAAAGAAUAAGCACCGGCUAACUUCGUA
rnacentral:rRNA from 1 species